UGCCUAUUUGCUUCUGCUAAUUCUCUCUAACUGCAGCUAGUGGCUGUGUCCUUAUCUGAUGGAAGAUUUAACUCUUGGUAAAAGAAGUCUCAUAAGCAUACUCAACUGUGCGGUCACAGACCUAAUCUGCUACUACUGCCCUGAUCUGCUAUUACUGCCUGAGCUGCAGGAC